GACGAACGCUGGCGGCGUGCCUAAUACAUGCAAGUCGAACGAAAAGACGAGGAGCUUGCGCGUCGGACGUUAGCGGCGGAGGGGAGAGUAACACGUGUAUAACCUACCUAUAAGACUGGGAUAAUCUCGGGAAACCGGAUCUUAUACCGGAGAAUAUAUUGAACCGUGGUGGGCAAUAGUGAGAUACGGUGUUGGGGUCAGUAAUAGAGGGAUCCGCGCCGCAUGAGGGAGUUGGUAAGGUAACGGCUUACCAAGGCUACGAUGCGUAGACGACGUCAGAGGGUGGUCGGCGACCCUGGAAGUGAGACACGGUCCAGACUCCUGCGGGAGGCACCAGUAGGGAACCUUACGCAAUGGGCGAAAGCAUGACGGAGCAACGCCGCGUGAGUGAUGAAGGUCUUCGGAUCGUAAAACUCUGUUAUUAGGUAAGAACCAAUGUGUCAGUAACCAUGCACGUCUUGACGGUACCUAGUCAAAAAGCAACGGCUAACUACGUG
rnacentral:rRNA from 1 species